GACGAACGCUGGCGGCGUGCCUAACACAUGCAAGUCGAACGGAGAUAAGCGCUGAAUUGAUGGUAGCUUGCUAUUGGAUUUUCUUGCUUAUCUUAGUGGCGGACGGGCGAGUAACGCGUGAGCAACCUGCCCUUCAGAGGGGAACAACAGUUGAAAACGACUGCUAAUACCGCAUAACGUGCCUUGAGGGCAUCCUCGAGGCACCAAAGAUUUAUCGCUGAAGGAUGGGCUCGCGUCCGAUUAGAUAGUUGGUGGGGUAACGGCCUACCAAGUCGACGAUCGGUAGCCGAACUGAGAGGUUGAUCGGCCGCAUUGGGACUGAGACACGGCCUAG
rnacentral:rRNA from 1 species